UACGGAGGGUGCGAGCGUUAAUCGGAAUUACUGGGCGUAAAGCGCACGCAGGCGGUUUGUUAAGCUAGAUGUGAAAGCCCCGGGCUCAACCUGGGAUGGUCAUUUAGAACUGGCAGACUAGAGUCUUGGAGAGGGGAGUGGAAUUCCAGGUGUAGCGGUGAAAUGCGUAGAUAUCUGGAGGAACAUCAGUGGCGAAGGCGACUCCCUGGCCAAAGCCUGACGCUCAUGUGCGAAAGUGUGGGUAGCGAACAGG
rnacentral:rRNA from 1 species